GUGUUUGCUUCGACAGUACACAUACUAAAAUUGGAACAAUACAGAGAAGAUUCGCAUGGCUCCUGUGCAAGGAGGUGAUGCAAAUUUGUCAAAUGUUCCAUACUUUU
ensembl:snRNA U6 U6 spliceosomal RNA